GGUCUUGGACAUCCAGUAGACUGCGGCAGAAGGAUCUCAUAUCAUCUGGAGCAGGGUGAGAGCGCCCCAUAGGAGCUCACAACAAUUGUGGUAAUUUUUAUUCGAGGAGACUUACUCUCUCCUAUAUAACAUGCUGCCAUAUAAUCAACACUUCCGUGUCUCCUUAAUUAUGUACCAUUCUUUAGCAUCUUGCAAAAUGGUCUAUAGUUUCCCUAAAAAGUUGACUGCAAUGUUGAAUUGCUGUGUAUUUUGUCAUAUUAGUGUUGCUUUAAGUGUAUCAUGAAGUCAACUUAUGUUAAAAUGCUUUUGUGGACAGGAUAGCUGACAAAUCACAGAUUU
rnacentral:misc_RNA from 1 species